rnacentral:sRNA from 1 species
GAGAGACAGAAGCCGAGGAGAGGAGGCUAAGCCGGGCGGCGCGGGGAGCGCACUGAGCAGGCAAAGUCGCAGGGCCGCCAGCAUGUUCUCCCGAAACCACCGGAGCCGGGUCACCGUGGCCAGGGGCUCCGCCCUGGAGAUGGAGUUCAAACGCGGCCGCUUCCGACUCAGCCUCUUCAGCGACCUGCCCGAGGACACGGAGUUGCAGAGGAAGCUAGACCAUGAGAUCCGGAUGAGGGAAGGGGCCUGUAAGCUGCUGGCAGCCUGCUCCCAGCGAGAGCAGGCUCUGGAGGCCACCAAGAGCCUGCUAGUGUGCAACAGCCGCAUCCUCAGCUACAUGGGCGAGCUGCAGCGGCGCAAGGAGGCGCAGGUGCUGGGGAAGACAAGCCGGCGGUGAGCAAGGGGGAGGCGAGGCCUCGAUGGAGGCAGGAGGCCUUCUGGGUGGUGGUGGUGCAGCGUGUGCGUGUGUGGCAUGUGGACCACCUUAAAGAUGACUUCCCCAUGAAGUCUUAUCAGGGACGUGGGAGAGACCUUGGUGUUUUACCACCACUGUGUGUUGCCCAGAGGCGCAUUUGUGAGUAGCCAGGGCAGGACUUAGAAAAGUCGGUGUGUCUGGUGAAAGGUAGCUGAUCUGAAGGGUAGCAAGUAAUGCAAAAGCACUAAUUUGCUAAGCCCUGUCUGUGAUCCAGUAAGACUGGCUAUCUGGCUUUUGGAAAAUUAAUUUCCUCAACGCUGGUUCACAAAAUCACCAAUUUAUCACAUACUGACAAUAGUUUGUUAUAUCUGGGGUUCACCUUCAGAGGCAGGGAGUGGGAAAGGAAAUAAGAAACCACUUAAGGAAAGCCUACCCAUUCAAACAAAUUAGAUUGUGCAUUCUAAAAGGGCUCAGCUUCUGGAUGUAAAAUGUAAGCAACACUGACAUUAGACUGUUGAUCUGACAAGUCUAUAAUGACUUAAGUGAUGCCAUGAUAAAACCAAAAUAUUGGGGAAAAUAUUUGGCAAAUUAUUCUAAGAAUAUGCCAAUUUGGAUAAAGUGGUCAUUUGGAGAAUUGGUUUUUAGGAAAGUGGCCUACUUACUCCACUGAGGCUGCUAGGGGAAAUAGUC